rnacentral:rRNA from 1 species
CCGGUGACGCUGGCGGCAGGCCUAACACAUGCAGUCGAACGGUAACAGGAAGCAGCUUGCUGCUUCGCUGACGAGUGGCGGACGGGUGAGUAAUGUCUGGGAAGCUGCCUGAUGGAGGGGGAUAACUACUGGAAACGGUAGCUAAUACCGCAUAAUGUCGCAAGACCAAAGAGGGGGACCUUCGGGCCUCUUGCCAUCGGAUGUGCCCAGAUGGGAUUAGCUUGUUGGUGGGGUAACGGCUCACCAAGGCGACGAUCCCUAGCUGGUCUGAGAGGAUGACCAGCCACACUGGAACUGAGACACGGUCCAAACUCCUACGGGAGGCAGCAGUGGGGAAUAUUGCACAAUGGGCGCAAGCCUGAUGCAGCCAUGCCGCGUGUAUGAAGAAGGCCUUCGGGUUGUAAAGUACUUUCAGCGGGGAGGAAGGGAGUAAAGUUAAUACCUUUGCUCAUUGACGUUACCCGCAGAAGAAGCACCGGCUAACUCCGUGCCAGCAGCCGCGGUAAUACGGAGGGUGCAAGCGUUAAUCGGAAUUACUGGGCGUAAAGCGCACGCAGGCGGUUUGUUAAGUCAGAUGUGAAAUCCCCGGGCUCAACCUGGGAACUGCAUCUGAUACUGGCAAGCUUGAGUCUCGUAGAGGGGGGUAGAAUUCCAGGUGUAGCGGUGAAAUGCGUAGAGAUCUGGAGGAAUACCGGUGGCGAAAGGCGGCCCCCUGGGCGAAGACUGACGCUCAGGUGCGAAAGCGUGGGGAGCAAACAGGAUUAGAUACCCUGGUAGUCCACGCCGUAAACGAUGUCGACUUGGAAGGUUGUGCCCUUGAGGCGUGGCUUCCGGAGCUAACGCGUUAAGUCGACCGCCUGGGGAGUACGGCCGCAAGGUUAAAACUCAAAUGAAUUGACGGAAGGGCGAA